rnacentral:rRNA from 1 species
AUGGGUUUUGUGAAGCUAAACGUUGAUGCUUCUUUUGACCAUGAUCUGCUUAGAGGCACGACGGGGGCAGUCCUGAGAGAUGACAAAGGAAGGUUCAUUGUUGGCGGAAGUUGGAGGCUUGACUGGUGUGCGGAUGUUCUAACGGCAGAAGCAUUGGCACUGAGGUUUGGCCUUACCCUAGCACAGAAGGCGGGGUGCAACCGCCUUAUUGUCAACUCAGAUAAUACGGAGGUGAUUUACAUGAUGAAGAAUGGAGGACAAUCGGCGACGACAUUGUUCGAUGAUUGCUAUUUUAUGGCUUGCAAAUUUACUAUUACUAGCUUUGAACAUUGUAAUAGGGAAGCAAAUAAAGUUGCUCAUGAACAUGCUAGGCUAGUGAAAUUCUCUGUGACUAGGGAUUGGUUUGAGGAGCCCAUGGUUGAUAUUUUAUCUCUCCUUAUUGAUGAUGUAACUGUUAUUUCUAAUUAA